rnacentral:rRNA from 1 species
CCUACGGGUGGCAGCAGUGAGGAAUAUUGGUCAAUGGACGCGAGUCUGAACCAGCCAAGUAGCGUGCAGGAUGACUGCCCUAUGAGUUGUAAACUUCUUUUAUACGGGAGUAAAACAAGAUACGCAUACCUUUUUGUAUGUAUCAUAUGAAUAAGGAUCGGCUAACUCCGUGCCAGCAGCCGCGGUAAUACGGAGGAUUCGAGCGUUAUCCGGAUUUAUUGGGUUUAAAGGGAGCGUAGGUGGUUUGUUAAGUCAGGUGUGAAAGUGUGAGGCUCAACCGUAGAAUUGCAAUUGAUACUGGCAGUCUAGAGUACAGUAGAGGUAGGCGGAAUGCGUGGUGUAGCGGUGAAAUGCUUAGAGAUCACGAAGAACACCGAUUGCGAAGGCAGCUUACUAAGCUGCUACUGACAUUGAUGCUCGAAAGUGUGGGGAUCAAACAGGAUUAGAUACCCUUGUAGUC